AUGAGUAAUUCUCAUUUUGCAGCCCUGGGCUCCAUGAACAGCAUACAGCCAGAAAGAAGUGAAGAACAUGUUGCAGAGGGCAGAAACAUCAGCCUGACAUGUAAAUAUGAGGGGGCUAUCUACAAUAUCCAGUGGUACCGACAAUACCAGAGAUCCAGACCAGAGUUCCUGCUCCACAUCACAGAGGCAGGAGGGAUCCAUCCCACUGAAUCUGAUUUCUCUGCUCACAUUGACAAAACAGAGAAACGAGUUGAUCUGGAGAUCAUCUCAGCUAAAGAGACAGACUCUGCUGUGUACUACUGUGCUGUGACGCCCACAGUGACAGGAAACACCAACACUCUGUACACAAACCUCAGGAGCACAGACAACACAAUACUGCCCAACAUCCACCAGAGGGAGCCUCUCUCUGACAAACAUCAAUAG